GUGUGCGUUCCAACACUUGAAAACAUCAAGAAGCUGAAUGACACUACCAGUGCAUGCUUUUGUGGUAUUAUAAAUUAUGAGAUAAGAACUAUAGCUCAAAUUGAAGAAUAUAAAAGUAUAGAAAAAUGUGAGAAUAUUCUUGACUGGAACUGGACAGUAGUGUUCGACAAGCCUGUUCCAAAGACGAUAAACACAGCGAUAUUACAAAUAACCGGAACUCGCGAGAUUCCUGCCAUCGGUCGUGAUUAUCAAACAAUUGCAGGGCCUGCCAUCUGUAAACAAGAUUAUCAGGCGAGCGACAAUAACUUUAUUUGUGACAUAAAUGGAAAACACAUUCUCGCCAAUUCACAAUGUAUCUACGAUAUUGAUGAGACUGGUUUUCCUGUUGGAUGCAGGGAUGGGAGCCAU
rnacentral:lncRNA from 1 species